rnacentral:rRNA from 1 species
AGAGUUUGAUCCUGGCUCAGAUUGAACGCUGGCGGCAUGCCUUACACAUGCAAGUCGAACGGCAGCACGGGAGCUUGCUCCUGGUGGCGAGUGGCGAACGGGUGAGUAAUACAUCGGAACGUACCCUGAAGUGGGGGAUAACGUAGCGAAAGUUACGCUAAUACCGCAUAUUCUGUGAGCAGGAAAGAGGGGGAUCGCAAGACCUCUUGCUUUAGGAGCGGCCGAUGUCGGAUUAGCUAGUUGGUGGGGUAAAGGCCUACCAAGCCGACGAUCUGUAGCUGGUCUGAGAGGACGACCAGCCACACUGGGACUGAGACACGGCCCAGACUCCUACGGGAGGCAGCAGUGGGGAAUUUUGGACAAUGGACGCAAGUCUGAUCCAGCCAUGCCGCGUGCGGGAAGAAGGCCUUCGGGUUGUAAACCGCUUUUGUCAGGGAAGAAAUCUUCUGGGUUAAUACCUCGGGAGGAUGACGGUACCUGAAGAAUAAGCACCGGCUAACUACGUG